rnacentral:rRNA from 1 species
UACGGGGGGGGCAAGCGUUGUUCGGAAUUACUGGGCGUAAAGGGCUCGUAGGCGGCCAACUAAGUCGGACGUGAAAUCCCUCGGCUUAACCGGGGAACUGCGUCCGAUACUGGAUGGCUUGAGUUUGGGAGAGGGAUGCGGAAUUCCAGGUGUAGCGGUGAAAUGCGUAGAUAUCGUAAGGAAGACCAGUGGCGAAGGCGGGUCUCUGGACAGUUCCUGACGCUGAGGCACGAAGGUCAGGGGAGCAAACGGG